AGCUCAGUUGGUUAGAGCGCCUGAUUGUGGUUCAGGAGGUCGGCGGUUCGAGACCGCUCU
rnacentral:tRNA from 2 species